rnacentral:rRNA from 1 species
GGACUACUGGGGUAUCUAAUCCUGUUUGCUCCCCACGCUUUCGUGCAUGAGCGUCAGUAUCAUCCCAGGGGGCUGCCUUCGCCAUUGGUGUUCCUCCACAUCUCUACGCAUUUCACUGCUACACGUGGAAUUCCACCCCCCUCUGACGUACUCUAGCUUGCCAGUUCCAAACGCAAUUCCCAGGUUGAGCCCGGGGCUUUCACAUCUGGCUUAACAAGCCGCCUGCGCACGCUUUACGCCCAGUAAUUCCGAUUAACGCUUGCACCCUACGUAUUACCGCGGCUGCUGGCAC